ACAGCACUCCCUCCGAUCCAUAUUACUUGUCACUCAUAUGGAUAUAUCUAGAGUUAAAAUGCGUCUAGAUACAUCCAUUUGAGCGACAAGUAAUAUGGGUCGGAGGGAGUAGAUA
rfam:Triticum aestivum genome assembly, contig: Triticum_aestivum_CS42_TGACv1_scaffold_527821_6DL